UCUUUGGUCGUCCAGCCUUAGGUG
rnacentral:ncRNA from 2 species